UGGGGAACCUGCCCCAUAGUCUGGGAUACCACUUGGAAACAGGUGCUAAUACCGGAUAAGAAAGCGGAUCGCAUGAUCAGCUUUUAAAAGGCGGCGUAAGCUGUCGCUAUGGGAUGGCCCCGCGGUGCAUUAGCUAGUUGGUAAGGUAAAGGCUUACCAAGGCGAUGAUGCAUAGCCGAGUUGAGAGACUGAUCGGCCACAUUGGGACUGAGACGACGGCCCAAACUCCUACGGGAGGCAGCAGGC
rnacentral:rRNA from 1 species